rnacentral:rRNA from 1 species
GACGAACGCUGGCGGCGCGCUUAACACAUGCAAGUCGAACGGAAAGGCCUGCUUUCCCUUGUGGAUUGCGGGUACUCGAGUGGCGAACGGGUGAGUAACACGUGAGUGAUCUGCCCCCAACUUGGGUAUAAGCCUGGGAAACUGGGUCUAAUUCCCGAUAGGACUGCAGGGUGGUGCCUGUGGUGGAAAACGAUUUUCUAGUGGUUGGGGAUGAGCUCGCGGCCUAUCAGCUUGUUGGUGGGGUAAUGGCCUACCAAGGCGGCGACGGGUAGCCGGCCUGGGAGGGUGGAGGGGCACAUUGGGACUGAGAAUCCGCCCAGACUCCUACCGGAGGCAGCAGUGGGGGAUAUUGCCACAUGGGCGGAAGCCUGAUGCAGCGACGGCGCGGGGGGGAUGACGGCCUUCGGGUUGUAAACUCCUUUCGACCGCGAGGAAGCCACCUGGUUGGAAGGGUGGUGACGGUAGUGGUAGAAGAAGCACCGGCUAACUACGUG